rnacentral:rRNA from 1 species
AUUGAACGCUGGCGGCAUGCUUUACACAUGCAAGUCGAACGGUAACAGGCCGCAAGGUGCUGACGAGUGGCGAACGGGUGAGUAAUGCAUCGGAACGUGCCCAGUCGUGGGGGAUAACUACUCGAAAGAGUAGCUAAUACCGCAUACGAUCUAUGGAUGAAAGCGGGGGACCGUAAGGCCUCGCGCGAUUGGAGUGGCCGAUGUCAGAUUAGGUAGUUGGUGGGGUAAAGGCUCACCAAGCCAACGAUCUGUAGCUGGUCUGAGAGGACGACCAGCCACACUGGGACUGAGACACGGCCCAGACUCCUACGGGAGGCAGCAGUGGGGAAUUUUGGACAAUGGGCGCAAGCCUGAUCCAGCAAUGCCGCGUGCAGGAAGAAGGCCUUCGGGUUGUAAACUGCUUUUGUACGGAACGAAACGGCUCUGGUUAAUACCCGGGGCUAAUGACGGUACCGUAAGAAUAAGCACCGGCUAACUACGUG